CAGCAGCCGCGGUAACACGUAGGGUGCAAGCGUUAAUCGGAAUUACUGGGCGUAAAGCGUGCGCAGGCGGUUUGUUGAGACAGAUGUGAAAUCCCCGGGCUCAACCUGGGAACUGCAUUUGUGACUGGCAGGCUAGAGUAUGGCAGAGGGGGGUGGAAUUCCGCGUGUAGCAGUGAAAUGCGUAGAUAUGCGGAGGAACACCGAUGGCGAAGGCAGCCCCCUGGGCCAAUACUGACGCUCAUGCACGAAAGCGUAGGGAGCAAACAGGAUUAGAUACCCCCGUAGUCCCUGUCUCUUAUAC
rnacentral:rRNA from 1 species